UCUAUGGAGUAGGUAGUGGCUUGCUUGCUAGGCUUAUAUGCGUUUUUCUUUAUGUUUGUUAUGUGAGAACCAAUGCAAGCUAUGUUACCCAUUGCUUAAUCAUUUAGACAUUUACAACAUGGAUAAUCAGAUCUAGAAUCCUGCUAGGAGGACAUGACGAGGAUGGGGAUGAGUUGAAGGCAGCGGAUUCUCCAUUGCUUUGGCCCCAUGUUGGAGGGUCAAAUGUAAUCAUUCUCUAAGUGCCUCGGAGAAUGACUCGAGGGGUACAGAAGGUGAAGUAAGUACCACACAUGCCUCCAUAGCUAUGAUACUAAAAGAGAGUAUGCCAGUUACUGUGAGGAAUUAGCCAAGAAACUCAAGGUAUGCACCACCGAUCAUGUUGUGGAAGUCUUUUUAUUUUGUAAAAUGCUUUGAAUUUUCUUUGAACGACAUUUCUCUAGAAAUAGUGGAUGAAACCUUAUGUAGAUACUCACUGGUCAUCUGCCAAGGUAGGUUUGUGCCAUAUGAAAAUAUUGGAAUGACACUAUUGUAUAUAUAUCUUGUAGUGCCCUCAUAAUUUUGUUGUUGUUCAGUGGGAUAAAAUAUCUUCCUAACGAUCUUGACAAGCAAUUAAGAUUGCUGCUACUUGCUUUCACAAGAUCCAUUGUGUUUAGCUUUAAAUGGAUACUAUAUUACUAUGUAGGAUCCAUCAGAUACAUCAAUUUAUUGUAGCUUACAAUGGUUACUAUAUAGUAUACUAAUAUUUGCAAUAUUUUGAUUCAGGAGUGUAAUGGUGUUGAUUUUGAGAUUUGGUAGGAGGGUGCUCAGGAAAUGGUUAGUACUUUGCAAUGCACACCAGUCUUACGUACACUUAACUUUCUGAGGGUGAUUCCAUGUUUUUAGACACACUGCAUAUUAUGCUUACCAAUGCAUGAUGUUUCCCUUGAUUAAUGUUCAGAAGAGUCACAAAUAUGUGUUGGAGGAAGUUUAUAAUCUCAAUAGGUUUCCCUCAUCCCACCCUAUGAUGAAAGAUGCGCGCACUAGAGUUUGACGACACCAUGAAGAUGAUGAGAGAGGAAGUGGGUUGUUUUGGUGUGUUCACCUGAUCUGGUACAUCACCUGCUAUAUAUGGAUUAAUCUUGCACAAGCCUCUUAUUAUAUGACUUAACACUUUGGUUCUUGUACAAUUGAAAACCAUUGUUUGUCCUUACAAAUGCGGUGAAGCUCUAGAGGAGAAGAAGGACCACCAGUUUGCAGGUAUUAUGACUAGCAUUCUUGUAGAGUGUAGUUGCCAUCAUAUGGUAAAGCUCAAGGUAUAUUUUAAGCACUGAGUUUUUCUUGGAUGAGGUAGCCAAUUAGUGUUUCAUAU